AACGAACGCUUGCGGCGCGUCUUAAACAUGCAAGUCGAACGGCAGGAAGGGGCUUGCCCCUUCUGAGAGUGGCGGACUUGUGAGUAACACGUUGGGUACAUCCCUUUUAUUUGGGGAUAGCUUUUAGAAAUAUUAGGUAAUACCGAAUUUGACCGUACCUUUUAGAGGGGUACGGGGAAAGGGGCUAAGGCUUUGCUAAAAGAAUGGCUCGCGGCCCAUUAUGCUCGUUGGUGAGGUAACGGCCCACCAAGGCGAUGAUGGGUAUCCGGCCUGAGAGGGUGAACGGACACAUUGGGACUGAGAUACGGCCCAGACUUCUACGGGAGGCAGCAGUUAAGAAUAUUCCGCAAUGGACGAAAGUCUGACGGAGCGACGCCGCGUGGAUGAAGAAUGCCGAAAGGUUGUAAAAUCCUUUUAAGCCUGAUGAAUAAGCACAGUAGGGAAUGAUUGUGCGGUGACCGUAGGGCUUGAAUAAGCACCGGCUAAUUACGUG
rnacentral:rRNA from 1 species